UUCUGGAAAUAUUACGCCCCUUAGAGCAGCUCCGUACAUUUUUCAUUUAUAUGUGGAGUUGAACACAACGGAAUUAUCACGAAAGUAGGUCGAGCAGAGAAAUUGUAGGUAUACACAUGCAAAAUGAAACGGCACGACCUCGGUCUGCGGGAGGGCGGCGAAAAACGAAUCAAUACGAAUUCGGAGGCCAAAUUUCACAGAAAAUGAAGUAAACGCUUCAAGUUGUAUUAUUGGCUGAGCAGUACCGCGGGAGAAUAGCCUACUUACUUUCCGUAAUUAAACGAGCGUUCUGCUGCCCUAUUUUAGAUAUAAAUUUCCCUAUCUCACAAAAACGUUUCCUUAUUUAAUAUAAUAAUGACGUCGCUUAUGCGGUGUCUUUGGAUAUUUAAUGACAAUGUAGCAAUGGGGAAACUGAUCAUAUUAUAUUCUAACAGCUAUCUAAUUUAUUUUUAAAUAUUAAUUUUUAAUAUCACCCUUAUCGUACCAUUUAAUUGGAAAUUCAAUUUUUUAGUUCAUUCUUAAAUGUCAUUUAUUUCUCUAUAAUGAUUCUUUACAAACAAGUCAUACGAGAUUGUAUUUGUUAAUAAAACUAUCGAAUAGAAUUGUUAAUUAAUAAAAAUUUACAGAUGAGCACAUUAUUUAUUUGGGACAAUAAAAACUUUUACUGAUUCAGUAGCGCAAA